rnacentral:rRNA from 1 species
UGGGUUGUGGUCGACCGACUCACUAAGUCAGCACACUUCAUUGCUACAAACCAGAAAUAUUCCUUUGAUAAGUUGGCUGAACUGUACUUAGAGAGGAUAGUUACCCUCCAUGGUGUGCCAAAGACCAUAACGUCUGACCAAGGUUCCGUGUUUACAUCAAGCUUUUGGAAGAGCCUACAAAAGUCUCUUGGAACUGAGCUCCACUUUAGCACGGCUUAUCAUCCCCAAACUGAUGGCCAGACAGAGCGGGUAAAUCAGAUCCUUGAGGAUAUGUUGAGAGCAUGUGUAAUGAACUUUGGAGAAUCAUGGGAUAAGCAUCUACACCUAGCAAAAUUUGCUUACAAUAAUAGUUAUCAAUCCAGCAUACAAAUGGCUCCAUAUGAGGCAUUGUAUGGGAGGAAAUGCAGAUCACCUAUAUGCUGGUAUGAAGUUGGAGAG